rnacentral:rRNA from 1 species
GAUGAACGCUAGCGGCGGGCUUAAUACAUGCAAGUCGAGGGGUGGUAGCAAUACUACACCGGCGCACGGGUGCGUAACGCGUAUGCAAUCUACCUUUAUCUGGGGGAUAGCCCGGGGAAACCCGGAUUAAUACCGCAUAACAAAUUUCUUGGCAUCAAGAGAUUUUAAAAGAUUUAUCGGAUAGAGAUGAGCAUGCGUAAGAUUAGAUAGUUGGCGAGGUAACGGCUCACCAAGUCUACGAUCUUUAGGGGCUCUGAGAGGAGAAUCCCCCACACUGGCACUGAGAUACGGGCCAGACUCCUACGGGAGGCAGCAGUAGGGAAUAUUGGGCAAUGGGCGCAAGCCUGACCCAGCCACGCCGCGUGCAGGAAGAAGGCCCUCUGGGUUGUAAACUGCUUUUGACUGGGAAGAAAAGACUCCUUGCGAGGAGAGUUGACGGUACCAGCAGAAUAAGCCACGGCUAACUACGUGCCAGCCGCCGCCGUAAAAC